rnacentral:rRNA from 1 species
UACGUAGGGUGCAAGCGUUGUCCGGAAUUAUUGGGCGUAAAGAGCUCGUAGGCGGUUUGUCGCGUCUGCUGUGAAAACUCGGGGCUUAACCCCGGGCCUGCAGUGGGUACGGGCAGACUAGAGUGCGGUAGGGGAGACUGGAAUUCCUGGUGUAGCGGUGAAAUGCGCAGAUAUCAGGAGGAACACCGGUGGCGAAGGCGGGUCUCUGGGCCGUAACUAACGCUGAGGAGCGAAAGCGUGGGGAGCAAACAGG